CUACGGGCCGCACCAGUGAGGAAUAUUGCACAAUGGGGGGAACCCUGAUGCAGAAACGCCGCGUGGAGGAUGACACAUUUCGGUGUGUAAACUCCUUUUAUAUGUCAAGAAAAUGACGGUAGCAUAUGAAUAAGCACCGGCUAACUCCGUGCCAGCAGCCGCGGUAAUACGGAGGGUGCAAGCGUUACUCGGAAUCACUGGGCGUAAAGGACGCGUAGGCGGGUUGGAAAGUCAGGUGUGAAAUCCUACAGCUUAACUGUAGAACUGCACUUGAAACUUCUAAUCUAGAGUAUGGGAGGGGGAGAUGGAAUUAGUGGUGUAGGGGUAAAAUCCGUAGAUAUCACUAGGAAUACCUAAAGCGAAGGCGAUCUCCUGGAACAUUACUGACGCUAAGGCGUGAAAGCGUGGGGAGCAAACAGGAUUAGAUACCCUUGUAGUC
rnacentral:rRNA from 1 species